UACGAGGGGGGCGAGCGUUGUUCGGAAUUAUUGGGCGUAAAGAGCGCGUAGGCGGAAUGGUAAGCGGGGCCGGAAAGCCCCCGGCUCAACCGGGGAAGGGGCCGCGAACUGCCAUUCUUGAGGGGGAGAGGGGAGAGCGGAAUUCCUGGUGUAGCGGUGAAAUGCGUAGAGAUCAGGAGGAACACCAAUGGCGAAGGCAGCUCUCUGGCUUCACCCUGACGCUGAGGCGCGAAAGCGUGGGGAGCGAACGGG
rnacentral:rRNA from 1 species